rnacentral:rRNA from 1 species
UACGUAGGGUGCGAGCGUUAAUCGGAAUUACUGGGCGUAAAGUGUGCGCAGGCGGCCAUGCAAGUCGAGUGUGAAAGCCCCGGGCUUAACUUGGGAAUUGCGCUCGAAACUACGUGGCUGGAGUGUGGCAGAGGAAGGUGGAAUUCCGCGUGUAGCAGUGAAAUGCGUAGAUAUGCGGAGGAACACCGAUGGCGAAGGCAGUCCCCUGGGCCUGCACUGACGCUCAUGCACGAAAGCGUGGGGAGCAAACAGG